AUUGAACGCUGGCGGAAUGCUUUACACAUGCAAGUCGAACGGCAGCACGGACUUCGGUCUGGUGGCGAGUGGCGAACGGGUGAGUAAUGUAUCGGAACGUGCCCAGUCGUGGGGGAUAACGUAGUGAAAAUUACGCUAAUACCGCAUACGAUCUAUGGAUGUAAGCGGGGGAUCGCAAGACCUCGCGCGAUUGGAGCGGCCGAUAUCAGAUUAGGUAGUUGGUGGGGUAAAGGCCCACCAAGCCAACGAUCUGUAGCUGGUCUGAGAGGACGACCAGCCACACUGGAACUGAGACACGGUCCAGACUCCGACGUGAGGCAGCAGUGGGGAAUUUUGGACAAUGGGCGAAAGCCUGGUCCAGCCAUUCCGCGUGCAGGAUGAAGGCCCUCGGGUUGUAAACUGCUUUUGUACAGAACGAAAAGGUUUCUACUAAUACUAGGAGCUCAUGACGGUACUGUAAGAAUAAGCACCGGCUAACUACGUGCCAGCAGCCGCGGUAA
rnacentral:rRNA from 1 species